UCCAGACUCCUACGGGAGGCAGCAGUGGGGGAUAUUGCACAAUGGGGGGAACCCUGAUGCAGCGACGCCGCGUGGGUGAAGAAGCGCCUCGGCGCGUAAAGCCCUGUCAGCAGGGAAGAAAAUGACGGUACCUGAAGAAGAAGCCCCGGCUAACUACGUGCCAGCAGCCGCGGUAAUACGGGGGGUGCAAGCGUUGUCCGGAAUCAUUGGGCGUAAAGAGUUCGUAGGCGGCACGUAAAGUCUGGUGUUAAAGGCAGAGGCUCAACUUCUGUACGGCACUGGAUACUUGCGAGCUAGAAUGCGGUAGAGGUAAAGGGAAUUCCUGGUGUAGCGGUGAAAUGCGUAGAUAUCAGGAGGAACACCGGUGGCGAAGGCGGCCUGCUGGACUGCGACUGACGUUGAGGCCCGAAAGCGUGGGGAGCAAACAGGAUUAGAUACCCCGGUAC
rnacentral:rRNA from 1 species